GUGUGUCAUAGCAACUGGUCCAGGAUCUAGAAUAUUAUUAUUCCUAUUUAAGUAUUCUUUUGAGUAGUUUUUUCAGCUCGAAGUUGAGACAUAGUUACACUUAUUUAAAACCUUAGACAUCUGCUACCACACAAUGUAAAAGACUUACAAAAAGGCAAUGAGAUUUGCUCUAUUGCAUUCCACAUUAAAGACUGUGGAUAGCUCACGCGAGUGAAACCGGAAUUGCUGGUAGUGGACACCCAUGGAGGAUUCCAUCAGGUUCAAUGGAGAGAGGUGGGUGCCACACUUGGGUCUGCCACAGCUGACAUCUACCAGGAGAAAAGCAUGCUUUCUCUCAGCCACAAUGCAGUGAUGAACCAGGUACUGCAAGUUUCAUGGUUUGCUUCCAUCUAAGCACAUGAUUUAUGAUUGAUACCAUUUUAAUUUUUACAGCCAUUUUCAUUGGGAUUAUUUGUUUGAGCAGCACCUUUAGAAGGUUUACUAGCAAGCUGCCUAACUUGGGACAUUGCUCUGAGCUUGAUUAAAUUCAGCUGGCAUUAGAAAACUUUCUCCCAGAUGUUUAUUUGUUAAAUGCUUAACCACAUCUCACUUCUUCAACAAUAUCUUCAAAAGCCAAAGGACCUGUGGGCAAAUUUCUGACAAGGACAUUUUGUAGAGUAAUCUCAUCAAUUCUGUUCAGUGUUAACACUGAUUUGCGGCUUCUUUCUCCAGCAAUUGUGGACCGAAGAAGUCCACAGAUUUUACUUCAAAUAGUGUCCUAGUGUGUAAGUAUAUAUAGAGAUUGCCUUUUCUUUUUGUUCUAUGUGCACACUUUUAUCUUUUUCUGCAGGGGUAUCUUCAACUGGCAUAUACGUUUUGCUACGGAAGUGAGAUAGCUUUUAUUUGUCUUAUACUCUUCAGUGAGAAAAUACAGAAUCAAAUUGAAACAGCAGGCAAAAUAGUAUAUAUGCAGAAAGCAACAUGCAGUCAUGCCUCCUCCAGGCUGGAGCUGUCGUCUGUUACAAUAAAGCCAACAGACAGGCUGUGUAAAAUAAGCCAAUAACCCAUCUCUCCUUUCAGUUCUUAUAGAGCUUCACAUGAGGUGUGAUCCAAGGGAAGUACAGUUUCUGGGAGAGAGCCAAUAUCUGGGAAUAUUUUUCUCUCCAUCUGAUGUGAAAGAGCCUCAGUAUGGUGCUGCAAACGCUGAAGAUUCUGGCUGACAGCAAGUCCAGAUGUCUGAGGUCACACGUAGCACCACACCACCAACUGUAUCUCAAAGAGAAAUGUGGAGUCUGAAAGCCAGUGCUUCAGACACAUCAGAAGCCCUUAAGGCUGAAAAAAUAUUCUCUGGGUGGCAAGAGGUGAUUUGGUGCCAAGUAGUUUAAAAGCCUUCCUAAACAUAUGUGUUUGCUUUGCUCUGAGGCACCAAGUCCACUUCGAUCACUGCAGAUCAGAUCUAUAAAGGCAAUUCAUUCAAGGGGAUGGAAACAAUUUUCCUUUUUUUCAUAUGUCUUUGAAAUAGCUCGUUGUCAUCUGACAGGUUAUUUUGCCGUUGUAGGAGAUUGGGAGUCUGCUGAGAAAGACAAUGGAAUGGAAGAACUUUAGAUGAGGAAGCUACUAGAAAAAACACAUUUAAAGGAGAAAGUAGGCAAUGGCAGAGGCGCUGCUGUGGCCAUUUCUUCCCAAAUUGUCCCACUUAUAUAUUUGAUUG